rnacentral:rRNA from 1 species
UGAAGGUCCUAUGGAUUGUAAACUGCUUUUGUAAGGGAAGAAUAAGGAGUACGUGUACUUUGAUGACGGUACCUUACGAAUAAGCAUCGGCUAACUCCGUGCCAGCAGCCGCGGUAAUACGGAGGAUGCGAGCGUUAUCCGGAAUCAUUGGGUUUAAAGGGUCCGUAGGCGGGCUGAUAAGUCAGAGGUGAAAGCGCUUAGCUCAACUAAGCAACUGCCUUUGAAACUGUCAGUCUUGAAUGAUUGUGAAGUAGUUGGAAUGUGUAGUGUAGCGGUGAAAUGCUUAGAUAUUACACAGAACACCGAUAGCGAAGGCAUAUUACUAACAAUUUAUUGACGCUGAUGGACGAAAGCGUGGGGAGCGAACAGGAUUAGAUACCCUGGUAGUCCACGCUGUAAACGAUGGAUACUAGCUGUUUGGAGCAAUCUGAGUGGCUAAGCGAAAGUGAUAAGUAUCCCACCUGGGGAGUACGCACGCAAGUGUGAAACUCAAAGGAAUUGACGGGGGCCCGCACAAG